rnacentral:SRP_RNA from 1 species
GCCAGAUGUGGUGGACCGCGCCUCUAAGUCCCUGUUGCUGGGGAGGCUGAGGCUGGUAGAUUGCUUGAGCUCUGGAGUUCUGGACUACAGUAGGGCUAAAGCCAACUAUGUCUACCCUGAGUUCAAUACAACUAUAAUGAUCCCCCUAGGGCAGAGGGCCACCACGCUGCCUAAAGAAGCACGAACCAGACCAAGCUGGAAAGGGAGCAGGUCAAAAGUCCAUGCUGAUCAGUAUUAGGACUGGGUCCCUGAGAGGCUUCUAUUCCAGCCUGGGUGAGAUAGGGAGACCCAGUCUUU